rnacentral:rRNA from 1 species
AACGAACGCUGGCGGCAUGCCUAACACAUGCAAGUCGAACGAGACCUUCGGGUCUAGUGGCGCACGGGUGCGUAACGCGUGGGAACCUGCCCUUAGGUUCGGAAUAACUCCCCGAAAGGGGUGCUAAUACCGGAUAAUGUCUUCGGACCAAAGAUUUAUCGCCUUUGGAUGGGCCCGCGUUGGAUUAGCUAGUUGGUAGGGUAAAAGCCUACCAAGGCGACGAUCCAUAGCUGGUCUGAGAGGAUGAUCAGCCACACUGGGACUGAGACACGGCCCAGACUCCUACGGGAGGCAGCAGUGGGGAAUAUUGGACAAUGGGCGAAAGCCUGAUCCAGCAAUGCCGCGUGAGUGAUGAAGGCCUUAGGGUUGUAAAGCUCUUUUACCCAGGAUGAUAAUGACAGUACCGGGAGAAUAAGCUCCGGCUAACUCCAUG